rnacentral:rRNA from 1 species
UACGUAGGGUGCAAGCGUUGUCCGGAAUUAUUGGGCGUAAAGGGCGCGUAGGCGGCCUUCUAAGUCGAACGUGAAAUCCCCGGGCUCAACCCGGGAACUGCGUCCGAUACUGGAAGGCUUGAAUCCGGGAGAGGGAUGCAGAAUUCCAGGUGUAGCGGUGAAAUGCGUAGAUAUCUGGAGGAAUACCGGUGGCGAAGGCGGCAUCCUGGACCGGCAUUGACGCUGAAGCGCGAAAGCUAGGGGAGCAAACGGG